rnacentral:rRNA from 1 species
CAGCAGCCACGGGAAUACGUAGGGGGCGAGCGUUAUUCGGAAUUAUUGGGCGUAAAGCGCUCGUAGGCGGGAGGGCACGUCCGUCGCUGAAAUCCCCCGGCUCAACCGGGGAACGGGCGCGGAUACGACUCUUCUGGAGGAACGUAGGGGGACCUGGAACUUCCGGUGGAGCGGUGAAAUGCGUUGAGAUCGGAAGGAACGCCCGUGGCGAAAGCGAGGUCCUGGACGUUUACUGACGCUGAGACGCGAAAGCCAGGGGAGCGAACGGGAUUAGAUACCCCUGUAGUCCCUGUCUCUUAUA